rnacentral:lncRNA from 1 species
UGGCACACGUGUGUGUGUCUGUGUGUGUGUGUGUCCGUGGGUGUGUCCAUGUGGAGCGGCUGUGUCCUCCGUGCGUGUCUGCUCACGUGCACGUCCAUGCCAUGGCCAUGCCCAUCCCUGUACCCGUGUCUGUGUCCAUCCCCAUGCCCAUGUCGUCCCUUUGCCAUGUCGUGUCCAGGUGGUGUCCAUGUCCACGCCCAUCCUCGUGUCCGUGUCUACACCCAUCCCUGUGCCACAUCCAUGUCCAUGCCCAUCUCCCAUGUCUGUGCCCAUCCCCGUCACCAUGUCUCGUGCCCGUGUCCAUGUCCACACCCAUCCCUGUGCCCACAUCAUGUCCAUGCCCAUGUCCAUGGAUGUGUCUAUGCCCAUCCCCAUGUCUGUGCCCAUCCCCGUGUCUGUGUCCAUGCCCGUCACCGUGUCUGUGCCCGUGUCCAUGUCCACACCCAUCCCUGUGCCCACAUCAUGUCCAUGCCCAUCUCCAUGUCUGUGUCCAUGCCCAUCUCCAUGUCUGUGCCCAUCCCCAUCACCGUGUCUGUGCCCGUGUCCAUGUCCACACUCAUCCCUGUGCCCACGUCGUGUCCAUGCCCAUGUCCAUGUCUGUGUCCAUGCCCAUCGCUGUGUCUGUGCCCGUGUCCAUGCCCUCCCCUGUGUCCGUGUCCAUACCCAUCCCUGUGCCCACGUCGUGUCCAUGCCCGUCUCCAUGUCUGUGUCCAUCCCCGUGUCUGCGUCCAUGCCCAUCCCUGUGUCUGUGCCCGUGUCCAAGCCCAUCCCCAUGCCCAUCCCUGAGUCUGUGCCCAUGUCCAUGCCCAUCCCCAUGUCCAUGUCGCAUCCAUGCCCAUCCCUGUGCCCAUGUUUGUGUCUGUGCCCACUCCAGUGUGCAUGCCCAUCUUUGUACCCAUCUCUGUGUCUGUGUGUGUAACUGUGCCCAUACUCAUCCCCCUGUCUGUGCCCAUGUCCAUCCCCAUGUCCAUGCCCAUCCCAGUGUCUGUGCCCAUGUCCCUGCCCAUCCCUGUGCCCAUCCCCAUGUUCAUGUCCAUCACCAUGUUGUGUCUGUGCCCAUCCCCAUGUCCAUGUCCAUGCCCAUCCCGGUGUCCGUCCCUGUGUCCAUGCCUAUGUCCGUGUCCAUGCCCAUCCUUGUACCCAUGUCCAUGCCCAUCUUUGUACCCAUGUCCAUGCCCAUCCUUGUACCCAUGUCCGUGCCCAUGCCUGUGCCCGUGUUCUGUGCCCGUGUCCAUGUCCAUGCUCAUCUCCAUGGCCAUGCCCAUCACCAUGUUGUAUCUGUGCCCAUCCCCAUGUCCAUGUCCAUGUCCAUCCUUGUGCCCAUCUCUGUGCCCAUCCCCAUGUCCAUGUCCAUCCUUGUGCCCAUCUCUGUGCCCAUCCCCAUGUCCAUGCCCAUCACCAUGUCAUGUCCAUGCCACUCCCUGUGUCCAUGCCCAUCCCCAUGUCCCUGCCCAUCCCUGUUCCCGUGUUCUGUCCGUGUCCAUCUCCGUGUCCAUGUCCAUGCUCAUCCCUGUGUCCGUGCCCAUCCUUGUGCCCAUGUCAGUGCCCAUGCCCGUGUUCUGUCCAUGUCCAUCUCCGUGUCCAUGACCAUGCCCAUCCCCAUGCCCAUGCCCAUCACCAUGUUGUGUUUGUGCCCAUCCCCAUGUCCAUGUCCAUGCCCAUCCCUGUGUCCAUGCCCAUUCUUGUGCCCAUGUCUGUGCCCAUGCCCGUGUUCUGUCCAUGUCCAUGCUCAUCCCCAUGCCCAUGCCCAUCCCCAUGUUGUGUCUGUGCCCAUGCCCAUGUCCACGCCCAUCCCUGUGUCCAUGCCCAUCCUUGUGCCCAUGUCCGUGCCCGUGCCUGUGUUCUGUCCGUGUCCAUCUCUGUGUCCAUGUCCAUGCUCAUCCCUGUGUCCAUCCCUGUGUCCAUGUCCAUCCUUGUGCCCAUGUCCGUGCCCAUCCUUGUGCCCACGCGUCACCCGCCGUGCCCGUACCGAGUAACUCUCCUUCUUGGCAGCCAUGGCGGGGUUGUUGUGGCUCCAGUCGAAGGCCACCUCCUCCUCCUCGCGCUCGCUCAGCCACAGCAGCUCCUUGGUGGCCGCGCUGACGAAGCCGUGCAGACUCUCCAGGUGCCGCAGCCGCGACUUGGACGAGUUCUGGGGAGGCACAGGGGGACGGUCACCCUCUGUCACCCGCCAGGUCACACGUCCCCAGCAUU